UUAACCCUGCAGUGCGAAAAAUACAAAAGUGUUUACUCUACAGUAUGUUUCUUCCAAUUUUAGAGUCUCAGAUAUCUUCCAUGCUCAACAGUUUAUCUUCCCAGCUCCAAGCCCAAGUGUCUGACAUGUCAUCUAGGCUGAACAAUAUAUCUUCCCAGCUCCAAGCCCAAGAGUCUCAGACAUCAUCCACGCUGAGCAGUUUAUCUACCCAGCUCCAAGCUCAAGAUACUCAGAUCUCAUCUGCAGUGACAAAUUGGGAUUCCCGUUUCCUAAAUCACGAGUCUCAGAUGUCAUCCUACCUGAAGAAUUUAUCUUCCCAACUCCAAGCCCAAGGUCAGCGUUUUGAAUCUUGAUCAGGAUCGUUGUAUCAUGGACAUCUGUCCCUACUGCUUUAAAAGUGUCAAAAAGAGAAUUAUCAGCCUCUAGGAAUGUACAGUUUAACCUGCUUUUCCAAAGAGUUUUCAAUAUGCUGUAAAAUCCUACAGUGACAGGCUUGUUUAAGGCUUAAGUAAAUAAAUUAAAAAUGAAAUUAAAGAGGCAGGGUGUGGAAUUAAUCAUAAACACAUGCAUGUAAACAACCUAAAAUCAAUGUCAUCAUAGCACCGUAUGUAUUACGCUGAACUCCAUGUGAUAAAUUCUCUGAAGUAGUUUUCAAAAAUAAACAGUAUGUAUUAUUGUAGCAUGUGACUGAUUUGCCUAUACUGUACAUUCUGUGACACAUUCGCCAGGUGAAUUCAUCA
rnacentral:lncRNA from 1 species